AGGACGAACGCUGGCGGCGUGCUUAACACAUGCAAGUCGUGGGCACCAGCAAUGGUGACCGGCGAACGGGUGCGUAACACGUAAGCGACCUACCGAUUUGAGGGGGAUAGCCGGCCCAACGGCCGGGUAAUACCGCAUACGCCAGGCGAGCUUCAUGGCUUGCUUGGGAAACCUCAGGGCAAAUCGAGGGGCUUGCGGCCUAUCAGCUAGUUGGCGGGGUAAUGGCCCACCAAGGCUACGACGGGUAGCUGGU
rnacentral:rRNA from 1 species